UAUGGGAGUAGGUCUGAUGAGGUCUUUACAACCUCCAGACAUUCUUUGGAUUAUAUAACUUCAUUGCUAACACUAGCAAGCAGGUACUCGUUCUGCCCCCAUCUGAUGCCUAUGUCAGAAGCUUUUUCUAUCUCCUUUAUACUUUAAUAAAACUUUAUUACACAAAAGCUCUGAGCGAUCAAGCCUCGUCUCUGGCCCCGGAUUGAAUUCUUCCCCUGUGGGGGCCAAGAAUCCCGGUGUAUUCGCGUGAUUCAACAACAACCUUUCAGGUGUUAAAGUGUGAAAAACUGCUUUCCAAUGUAUAUGUAUAAUUUAAAUAGCCAACUCUGCAACAUUUUCUCAAGAGUUGCUUUUCUGUGCUUCGUGCAUCAGUUAUUUUUCUUCAUGUGUGCAGCAGUAUUUUGCAAUUAUUGGCCAUCUUUUACUCCUGAUUUCCCUUGUAGAAGAUUGAUUAGCACAAUCAGUCACCAGAAAGCAAUUUUCAUCACCAAAGGCAGCUUCUUUUCUCUCUUGAUUAGCAGCCCUGCUUCAAGUUAUUCAGCAGAAAUAGAUAAUCUAUAAGAACAUUGCCAGACAAACAUUCUGAUAAGAAAAAGAGGGCCGAACCUGAAUAUUGCUGACAGUAUUCCAGUGUUCCGACUCUCCAGAAGGCUGAGCCCCAACUGUACUCAUUGGACGGAUGGACCAAGUCACCAGGAAUGGCCACAGGAUCAGUGACUUAUAUGAUCCUAUAAAGAAAGCUGAGCACUGAAGAAUUGAU